UGCAGCAACGCCGCGUGAGGGAAGACGGCCACCGGGUUGUAAACCUCUUUUAGUAGGGAAGAAGCGAAAGUGACGGUACCUGCAGAAAAAGCACCGGCUAACUACGUGCCAGCAGCCGCGGUAAUACGUAGGGUGCAAGCGUUGUCCGGAAUUAUUGGGCGUAAAGAGCUCGUAGGCGGUUUGUCGCGUCUGCUGUGAAAUCCCGAGGCUCAACCUCGGGCCUGCAGUGGGUACGGGCAGACUAGAGUGCGGUAGGGGAGAAUGGAACUCCUGGUGUAGCGGUGGAAUGCGCAGAUAUCAUGAAGAACACCGAUGGCGAAGGCAGUUCUCUGGGCCGUAACUGACGCUGAGGAGCGAAAGCGUGGGGAGCGAACAGGAAUAGAUACCCUGGUAGUCCACGCCGUAAACGUUGGGCGCUAGAUGUGGGGACCAAUCCACGGUUUCCGUGUCGCAGCUAACGCAUUAAGCGCCCCGCCUGGGGAGUACGGCCGCAAGGCAAAAACUCAAAGGAAUUGACGGGGGCCCGCACAAGCGGCGGAGCAAGCGGACUAAUUCGAUGCAACGCGAAGAACCUUACCAAGGCUUGACAUACACGAGAACGGGCCAGAAAUGGUCAACUCUUUGGACACU
rnacentral:rRNA from 1 species